GAGAUAGUUUAUCAGUGCACAUGUCUGUGUCCCUGGAGAUAUUCAUUGUGGGAUAAAGUGUGCCAGUGUCUGCGUAUGGAGGAGGAAUGCAACAGCCCAGGUGUGGUGAUCCAGGGAUCUUUAGCGGUGUUCAUGAUCGCCUUGGCCAUCCUCAAUGUGUGUUCUCUCACUGCCCUCCUGCUUGUAGCAGCUUUUUUCUGGUGCAGAGACUGGUGGAAAAAGCUAAAUGGAAAGAAAGCAAAAGCAGCUGCUUCUAUC